rnacentral:lncRNA from 1 species
AGAGUAUGGAAUGGGUGGCGAGAUAUCUACAGAAGGAGAUGUAUAUAGCUACGGAAUCUUUCUACUAGAGAUGUUUUCAGGAAAACGACCUACAUGUAGCAGCACGUUGUUGGACAAUAAUAAUAGCCUUCAUGACUAUGUGAGGAAAGCCCUCCCACAUAGGGUGAUGAACAUUGUUGACUCGCGGAUCAUAAUAGAUCUAGACGAUCAUGGUUUGAGAACAAAUCAGUCAUAUAACAAGGCUGCCUUAGAGGUAUGUCUGGCAUCAAUAUUUCAAGUGGGGAUACUAUGUUCACUAGAAAUGCCCAAAGAGCGCAUUGACAUUAGUGUUGCUAUCAAGCAGCUUCAUGCAGCAAGAGACAAGCUUCUACAGCACAGAUAGUAACCUAUGUCUCUGUUUCUCUGCUUUUCCUAUGUUUCUAUCUCUUCUUGAUGCCACAGAUUACUCCACACUUUUAUUUACACUCUUUAAUACCGCUCCACACUUUUAUUUACACCGUCACUAUAUAUUACUUGAAGUUUUUAUGUAAGGAGUGGUAUUUACUAUAUAAGUAAACUAUUAAAUUCGUGGAACAGUACUUUUGGCAAUUGUCUUGACCUUUUAGUUAUGCAGAGUAUGGAAUGGGUGGGGAGAUAUCUGCAGAAGGAGAUGUAUAUAGCUACGGAAUCUUUCUACUAGAGAUGUUUNGUGCUCCGGGGCAUCAGUGGUUUCUAUUCGUACUCAAUAUUUGAGCACUUUGAGGGACAGCCACCUAUCGUUUUGUACCAAGGAAGAAUUGUGUUCAGGCUACAAGAAGAUAUGUACACACGCUAUUCCCAUCAUUUGUUUCAUGACUCUUGACUAGUUGACUUCUUGACAGUUGAAAAAAAUAACAGGCUGGCUUAAUGGAUUAUAUAUUUGCUAGGUUCCGCUACAUGGCGGUUUCUGAUGAUCGACAAAGGAUUAUGCCAACAGAAGAAGACCGGAAACUGGGACUACCACUUGACUAUCCAGAAGCAGUGCUAUUGACAAAUCCAUCUGAUGCAUUUCUUAAAGGAGAGGUUAGCUGUUUGAAUUUUUUUUGCUCUAUUUAUAAGUUUCAAGAGGUCUCCUGUCAUUUCUCUUGAAUAUUCAUGAUAAGAAACUUAAUUAUUAUAAAAAAUUUCCAAUGUACAUUCUGUAAUGUUGUAGGUUCAUGUUCCACUAAUAAUUAUUUCAGCCGACAAACUUAAUGAGUGAACUAAAAAUUACUGAUCACCGUAGUAGAAAUCACGGCUUAAUAGUUUGUAGGCUAGAUUAGCUUGUAUAUGGAUAUAUGCACAGUGCCCAGCUCAACAAUAAUUGAACUUUGUUCUGUUAUUUUGGUUGAAGUGAUCAUAAAAAGCUAUAUAACAAGCGAGUAUGAAGUGCAGGUGGAUGAUAAAUAUCAGUAUUCAUGUGAAAACAAAGACAAUAGAGUACAUGGAUGGAUAUCUGCUAAUCCAGCCAUUGGCUUUUGGAUGAUUACACCAAGUAAUGAGUUCCGAACUGCUGGGCCAACCAAACAAGAUCUCACCUCUCACGCAGGUCCCAUAACUCUAUCUGUGAGUACAAAUAUGUUCUGAAGUUAAUAAAAUGUAGAAUCUGAAUUUAAAUAAUAAAUUUAUGGUCUAUCUAUAGAUUACAAAAAUGCGCUAUCAUUUUCAGAUGUUCUUUAGUACUCAUUAUGCUGGAAUAUCACUGGGAAUAAGAUUGGGACAAGGGGAGUUAUGGAAAAAGGUUUUUGGCCCUGUUUUUAUUUAUUUAAACUCUGUAGAGGAUGAGAGUCCCCUUGAACUAUGGGCAGAUGCUAAAGAACAGGUAAUCCUUCUACAAUUUCUUACCUGUACUAUAAACACACAUACAGAGGUGCAAAACUGCAUUAUAUGUACCAGUAUCACUAUUUAAAUCACUUUGAUUUUCAGAUGCUUAUAGAAACUGAAAGUUGGCCUUACGAUUUCCCGCUUUCAGAAGACUAUCCUUAUGCCAAUGAGCGAGGCACUGUAAGUGGAAGGUUACUGGUCAGCGACAGGUAAUUAGCACAUUUCCCAUGAAAAAGUAGGACCACAAAAAGAAACCAAAAGUUUUAAUUCUUACAGUGCAGCUUAUGUGAAUUUCCGUACGAUUCAUAUUAUUAGAACCAAAGCAAAAGAGAGCUUACUUCUCUAAUAUAGUAAAUUGUAAGGUAGAGAGGACAUUUAUUCGUUUAUAGUCAAUUGCGUGAAUUGAAAUAGUUGAAUACUCAUGCUUUUAUUUAGCAAAAAAAAAAAAAAACUCAUGCUUUUACCAAGAGCGGAACCUUAAACCUCCUGCUACCAUGAUAAUAGAGGCAUCCACUGGAUUACAGUGACAAAAAUGACCGGCAUGUAUUCCUAACAUGUAUGAUGUAUCAACUAACAUAUUCUUUUGUAGGUACAUCAACAAUGAGUUGAUGACUGCUAGUUCUGCUUAUGUGGGAUUGGCUGCACCGGGAAAUGCAGGAUCAUGGCAAACAGAAAACAAGGUUAUAACUAUAUAUCAUAGCAUGCUGAUCGUAGUUUAGCUACAUACAAAAUUUUUAUGUUUAUUUUUAUCUAUUAAAUUCAGGGGUACCAAUUUUGGACGCAAACUGAUGAUCAGGGGUACUUUUUGAUCGAAGAUGUCCGAGUUGGGAACUACAGCUUGUAUGCUUGGGUACCAGGAUUCAUUGGUGAUUAUAAAUACGAACUCUUAAUUAACAUCAGACCAGGUUUGAGGUCUUUCGAUCUUAAGUCUUUUCUUCUUUAAGAUGAAGAUAAAAUGCAAUAACUGUAGCUAAUAAGCUUGAACUUAAACAGGUAGUAAAAUUAAACUAAAAGAUAUUGAAUAUGUUCCUCCAAGAAAUGGUGCCACCCUUUGGGAAAUUGGCAUUCCUGACCGCACUGCUGCUGAGUUUUACGUGCCUCCGCCGAACCCCAUGCUUCUGAAUCAGUUAUAUGUCCAAAACAAUGCACAAGGGUAAAGUAUAAUUGGUACAUUUGCCACUCAAACAUCAGGUUUUGUUCAUAUAUACUUCAUUCUUCCAAAAAAGGAUAAAUUGUGGGGCUCAAAACUCCUUUUAAACUACUCAGCAAAUUCAUAUAACAAAUUUGUUAACAGGAUACAGAUUCAUUAGUUUAUCACACAAUUGUAAACAGGUUCAGGCAGUAUGGACUGUGGGAUCGGUACACAGAUGAAUAUCCUGAUCAAGAUUUAGUCUACACCAUCGGGGUUAGCAACUAUCAGAUAGACUGGUUCUUUGCUCAUGUUAACAGGUGCGUACUCCAAGUUACGGUAUAGAAUAUAGAUAAUUAAAUUUGUAAAUUUACUGUUAUUUUUAUUAAUUUAUUACACAUCUGAUAAACACAUUGGACAUCUAACAUAACAUUGUUGCAGGAAUAUAGGAAACAAAACAUAUGUACCCACUACCUGGCAAAUUUUAUUUGAUCUCGAAGAAGUUGAUCAAAACGGAAAUUAUACAUUGCAUCUGGCAUUGGCUUCUGCCACCGCAGCUGAAUUACAAGUAAGAACUACAUGCUUUCUAAAUUUCCAGUCACAACAUCUCAUCCUCGGUCUUCAAUGAUCAAUAUACCUCUUCUUCGAAUAUUUUUCCACUUAAAUCUUAGUAUUCUUGGAAUUUAUUCGCUGAUCAGGCUCUGUCAUUUGCUUGUCUAAGGUUCGGAUAAAUGACUACAAUCCUACCAGUCCUCACUUCACGACAGGGCUCAUAGGGCAGGACAAUGCCAUAGCAAGGCAUGGGAUUCAUGGGUUAUACAGGCUAUAUAGUGUUAAUGUUUGGGGAUCUUUGCUACUAGAAGGAAGAAAUGUAAUAUAUUUAACACAAGCAGUAGGUGUUAGGGCUUUCAGAGGAAUCAUGUAUGACUACAUUCGCUUUGAACAGCCAGCUUACCAAGAUUAAAGAAGUUUUGUGCAAUUACAAGCAUUGUUCAAAAAUUAAUCACCGAUUAAUCCGUAUUCCGUAGUUCUUCGAAUUGAUUAAAUAUCUGAUUAUUCAAUUAAUCAUCUGGUAAAUCUCCCGUCAAUCCCAUUAAUUUUUGAUUAAUCCUUAUCUGUGUCUUCACCGAUUAAGUCGGAUUUCCGCUUUUUACAACAUCCAUUAUAAAAAAAAGGGUAAUAUUUUAAAUUUAAAUUUCUCUUGUUAUUUAAAUGUAAAAACUGUGCAUGCAACAUUGAAGUUUUCAAACUCAAAACUCAUGAGCAAUAAACUAAAGUUUAAAAUAUCAUUCUCCAGAUAUGUGACAAGGAACGAUUACUACGUAUAAUUCGUAAUAUAAAGGGGAAAAUAAUAUGUGUGUGGGCUUUCCAUAAUAAGAAGAUUUUACAUAAUUUAAAUAAUAAUUUUAAAUGAGCAACAUUUAGAUAACUCAAGUGGUAGUUAUUAGAACGGAUAUUCACUUAUACAAUUAAUAUUUAGAUAGAAUAUCGAGUUUAAAUAUAUCUCAUGCAAAUUCAAAGAAUGAAAAAAAAAUUGAAGAUUUGAAGGUAUAUGAUUUACUUGUGUUUUUCAAAUGUACGAAGGUUUAUGUUUAUCGGGAAAAUCUAGCUAAUAUGUCAAAAUUCGUAACUGGGUUUUUUAUGCAAAAAUACCGAAUCAUCUCUGUUAUAUGCAAAAAUACCGAACCAUCUCUAUUAUUUCCUUUAAAAAAAAAUCAUCUCUGUUAAUAAUUGAAGGGUCAUAAUUAUGUUAUUUCCGUUUAUCGCAUGAAGUGAUUUCUUUAAGUUGCAAGUCCAGUGCCCUUAGUAUCAUGCAAUAUGCAUCCAUGAGACCACCUACAUUAUUUGAGACGGUCCAGAAAUUAAUCGAAUAUCUCGAAAAUCUUUAAAAAUCCUGACGUAUCUCAGAUUACCAAAAGGGGCAUAGAAAAGACCAAACGGCGUUACGGACGAGGUGAAUCCUUAAACCUUUUAGUCCGUCUCAGUUUCACUGCUGUAACGGCUGAGAAUUUGGCGGUAAAACAGAUUGCGUGGCAUCAUUUAAUUGGCUUACACGUGCAUGUAUAUAACAAUUUUACACCUCACUCUUGUUUUUUCCCGCGCAAUCAGAACCCUAGAGAGAGAAACAAAGCCCCACCCACAGUUCUGAGAGGUGAUAAGAACUAGGCUUUUCUAGAGAGAGAAACAGCAAAAAAGAGGGCUUUUCUUGAAUUUCAUAAAUUCUCGCGAAGAUCGAAACUUUAUUCAUCAGAUCUGAGGAUUCUUGAUUCUGGUAAGUGGGUUCUUUUUUUUUGUUGUUGUUAUUUCUUUGUGUUUCUUGAUUGAGAUCUUGCGAUUUGUGAAGUUUGGGGAUCUGGGUUAUUUGUGUUUUUGCUUUUGUUUGUGUAUAUGGUAUUCUUAUGUAUGUGUGAAUUUUUGGGUAUGUUUUAUUUGGUGUUGAUAAUUUUUUGAUUGAUGGUUUUGCAGAUUUGGGGGUUUAGGGUUUGGUUUUAAAUGGAGAAUUCCAAGCCUUCAGCUCCGGAGAGUGGUUUGAAUCCGGAUAUCGAAGCUCGAUUCAUUGCUUUUUGCAAGGUUUUGUGCUUUUUGUUUAGGUUAAAUUUGGGAUUGUGUGUUGUUAUUUGGUGUAUAUGAUUUUUGGGUUUUUUGUGUGUGAUUUGGUCUGUAGGAUGGAUUAUCGAUGGACGAGAUUACUAUGACUGAAGCUAUGAAGCUGUUUAAUGAAAGCAAGCAUCUUUUGCAGGCUAAUGUAUCCGUAGCUGUUGGAACUGGAACGGUAAAAUUGCUUUUAUUUGAAAAAUUGCUGGUUUUUGGAUUAUCGAUAUGUUUUUGAAUUUUGUAUGGCGCGAAUAUGGAUUAAGGCUAAUUAAUUUUAUAUUUGUCGUUUUUUGGUUUGUAUUUAUGGAUCAGCCUGAAGAAGCAGAACUUUACUGGUUUGUGUUUGUUUUGUACUCAUUGAAAAGAUUGAGCCAGCGAAAUUCAAAUGACUCGAUUACAGAGUCGGAUGAAAAAAGGGUUAGCUUAUGUCAGAUGUUAAGGGCCGCAAAGUUAAAGUAAAGUUAUAAUUUAUGAAUUAUUCCUUAAAGGCUACUUAUUUGACUAUAACAUCAUUUUAAUCAUGUCAUUUUUUUCGCUUUGUAGUCUUGUGGAUUUUUUCAAAGAAAUUCCUCAGUUUAUUGUUAAGGUGGGCCCAAUUUUAGGUAAUCUGUAUGGCGCAGAUUGGGAGAAGAGACUUGAGGUACGGAUGUCUGGAUAUCUAGCUGUAUAUUAUGUUUACUUGUUCAAGUUGUAACGCCUUCAUAGUUAUUAUUAGGUCAAAUCCAUUAUUAUUUUGAUUGUAUGUUAUUCAUUUUCUUUUUCCUAUCUGAAUCAGGCAAAGGAGCUGCAAGCCAAUUUCGUGCAUAUGAGCAUUUUAAGCAAGUGGGUACCAUUUAUUCGUUAUCCUUGCAUAACUUUUCUGUUGCUUGAGUAUAUUAUGGUUAUUUGCUUGUUUUAGUAACUAAUCCAUCCAUCUAAAAGUGCCAAAGAAUUAUGAAAUAAAUCAAAUAUCAUUGGGGCGGAUAGUAGAGGUUGUGCAAGAUUGCCUUGCACAUACUUAAGCUCAAUGUUUAACGUCACAUGACAUUGGGACAUUUAACUAUCGUUCAAUGAAGAUCAACUGUAUUGUUCAGGACAAUGGGUGACGGCCGCAGCUGUUUCUUUUAAAUAUUUUUAUUCGCUGUUCUUGGUUCAUAUGAGGCAAAUAUUUUUUUUUCUUGCCAAUAAAAAAAUAUGCUAAUAGAAAAUGACUUCGUUAUUCUAAUAUGAAGAAGGAUAUAUUUCUGAAGUUAACUUUUGUUCCACGUCUCCUGUAGCUAUAAGAUGCAUACAAUAUAGAGCUUAAUAACUUGUGUACUUUUUUUGGCUUCUUAAAACAUCAACAUGCAUUUUGUUUUGCCUAUUCUUCGAAGAAUACCAGAAGGAGGAUUGCAUGAGGAUUAUUAGUUAUAUUAUCACUUGAUAAAUGUCAUUGCACUAUAUGACACUGUAGUUUGUCAAUUAGGAGUUUAGAAUGCUCUGUACUUACGUCUUUGUUAUUUUUGUAUUCCGUUUAAUCUGUAGUAGGUUCAUGCUUUUAAUAAAAGUAAAGUAUAGCUCUGUCAAAUUUUCUUUACCAGGUACUAUAAACGUGCAUACCAUGAACUUUUUCUGGCAAAGGAUACAAAUACUGAUAAGCAAUCAGCUGCUGGCGAUGGGUCAGACUAUCAUCGUUUUGGUUGGUUGCUAUUUCUAGCUCUACGUGCACAUGCGUUCAGCCGGUUCAAGGACUUGGUGACUUGCACAAAUGGUCUAGUUUCCAUAUUGGUUAGUUACAUUUCAUUACCAUAUGGUGACUAUAAUGUGCUUUUUUUUCCUUUUUGCAAAACGCUCUAGCAAAAAAUAAAUGAUGCAUUAAUCAGUGAUGUAAAAGAAUGACUUGCACCCUUCAUGACAAACCAAUCUUCUGUCACUUCUCUCCUUGAAGAGGAACAGACAUUUUUUUUUUGCUCAGUCAACACUUUACAGGCAUAAUCCAUGUACCAGACUCCUAUGUUGUAGUAUUACUUUCUGCAUAUUUUUCACCUAAUGUUAUACAUAAUGCAUGUGUUAAUGUUUUUGUGAAUUUUGGACAGGCCAUUUUGAUUAUUCAUGUCCCUGCUCGCUUCAGAAAGUUCAGCGUUGAUGACUCUUCACGCUUCGGUGAGUAUCUUCCCAAGAGCUUAUUUUUUGAAUUCUACAGCUCUUGUUGGUGAAAUAUAUAUUAUAUAUCUUUUACCAUUUUGACUACUCAACAGUAAAGAAAGGCGACAAAGGUGUGGAUUUGAUUGCAUCACUUUGCAAAAUGUAUGAGACUUCAGAAGAUGAACUGAGGAAAACAAUGGAGAAAACCAAUAAAUUAAUAGAAGGAAUUUUGAAGAAAAAGCCUUGCUUGGCCUCUGAAGUUAAAAUUGAAAAUCUUGACAAUAUCAGCACAGGUACUAUAUUCCACCAUGAUCAGUUGCUGGUUUGAUUUAGUGUGACAUUGUAUUUUACCUGAUCUGCCUUUGCUGAAAUUUGUAUCCUAUGUAAUGCAGAUGGUUUAAUUUACUUUGAUGGUUUGAUGGAGGAGACAACUUUAUCUACUAAUCUAAGUACAUUAGAGAAGGACUAUGAAGAUGCAAUUUGUAGUACAGGUGAUUUAGAUGAAAGACUGUUUAUGGAUGCUGAGGAUAGUGUGCUCGGCUCAAGCAGCUUAUCUGGAGGUGCCAUAAAUAUUAGCGGUCCAAAGGUAUGUCUUUUAUAUAUAAGUGACUAUUGAAUAAGUUCAAUUGUUUAGCUUCUCAUUUAUUUCUUUUUAUAGAGGAAAUUUGACUCAAUGGCAUCCCCAACAAAGACAAUCACAAGUCCACUUUCUCCAUUCCGCUCUCCUGCAAAAUCUGUUAUGAGUGGCAACGUUGUUAUCGGCUCCUCAAGGAUACCAUCUACACCUGUAAGCACAGCGAUGACGACAGCGAAGUGGCUUCGGGAUGUUAUAUGUCCACUUCCAUCAAAGCCUUCGGCAGAGUUGGAAUCUUUCUUGUCCAAAUGUGAUAGGAAUGUAACUCAUGAGGUUGUACGUAGAGCUCAUAUAAUAUUGGAGGCUAUAUUUCCAAGUAGUGGUGCAGGUGACCGCAGUGCGACUGGAAGCUUGCAGAGUACAAAUCUCAUGGACAACAUAUGGGCAGAACAACGUAGAUUAGAAGCGGUUAAGCUCUAUUAUAGGGUAUUGCAAGCAAUGUGUACAGCAGAGGCCCAAAUUCUAAAUGCAAACAAUUUGACCUCUUUGCUUACUAACGAGAGGUUUCAUAGGUGUAUGCUGGCAUGUUCUGCUGAGCUAGUUCUUGCCACUCACAAGACAGUAACAAUGUUGUUUCCAGUAGUGUUAGAAAGGACUGGCAUUACAGCUUUUGAUCUUAGUAAGGUGAUAGAAAGUUUUGUUAGACAUGAGGAAUCUCUUCCAAGGGAACUGAGAAGGCAUCUGAAUUCACUGGAAGAACGGCUUCUUGAGAGCAUGGUAUGGGAAAAGGGCUCUUCUAUGUACAAUUCUCUGACAGUAGCAAGGCCAGCCCUCUCUGCUGAAAUAUGCCGUCUUGGAUUGUUGGCAGAGCCAAUGCCAUCUUUAGAUGCAAUCGCUAUUCAUGUUAAUAUGUCUAGUGGAGUUUUGUCUCCUGUCACAUCUUUGCAAAAGCUGGAGUCAUCCCCAGGUAUUGAUUCACUUCAUCUUACUUCAGGUAUUUUCCUACCUUUAAGUCACGUAAUUAUAUUGGCUCUCUCUAAACUAACCAAAAUAUAUCUGCUAAUAAUUCCAGGUCAAAAUGGAGAUAUUCGGUCUCCAAAAAGGCUUUGCACUGAACCUCGAAGUGUAUUAGUAGAGCGUAAUUCUUUUACAUCACCAGUGAAGGAUCGCCUUCUGGCUACCAACAACCUGAAAUCAAAAUUACUGCCUCCAGCUUUGCAGUCUGCAUUUUCAAGGUAAUUAUAACCAUUCAAGCUAUUGCCUGUGCACCUUGGUGGCACUUUUAUAAAUUUGUAAUUAGUAUUAUCUAAUAUUGACAUGUAAUUAUAUUAAUGCAGUCCAACAAGGGCAAAUCCAGGGGGCGGAGGGGAAACAUGCGCUGAAACUGCAAUUAGUGUAGUUUUUGCCAAGGUAUUUUUUUUUUGGUUGAAUGAUCUGGAUUUUAGAAUACGUUUGGCUACUAUAUUGUAUGAACUAAUCAUUAUUGAGAACUAAGAAGGUUUGUCUAUUUCAAUGUCACAUGCUCUAGUUUUAGGGUUCCUGUUCCAUGUUCUUGUUCUAGAGAAAACAUGUUACAACUCGAGACAUUCCGAUAAAUAAUGUUAUCCUCUCAUUGCUGGCCAUCAUAUAUGCUAAUUGUUUGAUAGUAGGAGUAACACUGUUCAAUUUGUAUACGAAGUUCCAAGUCAUUUUUCAGAAAGUUUAGCUGAAUAGUAGUUGUUCAUGUCUAGUUCGGAUAUUUUAUCCUAAGUUUAUAAAAGUAUUAUAUGUAUGUAUCCAGAUAAUAGGGCAAGUAAUAGUUAUUCUGUUAUUGGUAAAGAUACAAUGCAUCAGUAUUUUCAUUUUUUCUUAUGAUGAUUUUCUAUGAUGCAUUGAUUAUACAUGCACAAAAUUGUCGCCAUAUUUUGUCAUUUUAUAUGCUAAUGUUUCAUAUUGUUAACCUUAUUAUUUGCCAGAUUGUAAAGUUAGCUGCUGUCCGAAUCAAUAGUAUGAUUGAAAGGCUCCAAUUACCGCAACAAAUAAGAGAGAAUGUGUACUGUCUCUUUCAGAAUAUCCUUAUGCAGCAGACAGCUCUAUUUUUUAACCGCCAUAUUGAUCAAGUCAUCCUAAGUUGUCUGUAUGGAGUUGCAAAGGUUUGCUGUUAAAUAAUUGUGAGACUGAGACUAUUUAAGUUGCUUUUUUAUCGUUCUUCUAAAAGCUAUGGUUCAAAAUUGCAGAUUUCCCAAUUGAAUCUGACAUUCAGAGAAAUCAUUUACAACUACAGAAAGCAGCCACAAUGCAAACCCCAGGUUUUCCGAAGUGUAUUUGUGGAUUGGUCAGCAGCUCGCCGGAAUGGGGUAUUUAUAGUUAGCUGUACUUUAUAUUCUCAAUAUUUUGAGCAAACUCUAACUGUUUACUGGUUUUUAACAUAGAAAACUGGAAAGGAUCAUGUUGACAUUAUCACAUUUUACAAUGAAGUAUUCAUCCCUGCCGUCAAGCCUCUAUUGGUAGAACUUGCCCCUGGUGGAAACGUUAAAAAGAGUAGCCAGAUACCAGAAGCCAUGAAUAACAAUGACAAAGGUUUGGUUCUCUAUGCUCACUAUCUUAAUAAACAGACAUCAGUAUAUGCACUUGCUAUAUUGGUCAAUGUUCAUUAAUUUUCAAAUUGUUAGUUUCUGUGGGAGAGCCUGGAGUACUAUAUAAUUUGUCUUUACUUUUUAAUCUUGUCUUUCUCAAAUACAUUUAGGUCAAAUCCCUGGAUCACCCAAAGUAUCAAAGUUUCCCAGUCUCCCAGAUAUGUCCCCCAAAAAAGUAUCAGCGGCGCACAAUGUUUAUGUCUCUCCACUGCGAUCAUCAAAGGUACUGCUGAAUAUCUUGAUUUAAUAUUAAUGUUUUAAUUAUAGUCGUUAAACUUAUUAUGAAAAUUUAUAUUUGAUGAUAUUUAUUUUUUCAUAUGAUGUUCCAUAACUAUGUCUUGAAGGUUUUCUUUUGAGUUAGUAUAUAUCCCUACUAAAGUCUCCUUACCUGAGUACAUCUAUGAAUUAUGAGGGUUUAAGAUUACUGGCAGACAUUACUAACAGAAAAGUAACUUCCAAUGCAUAUAUUAUUUAGUUUACCUAUCUUUAAAUGACCUCCAGGCUCCAGUAAACCGACCGAAAGCACCAACCGUAUACAGCUUCCACACAAAGCUAACUCUUCUCUACAUACUGGCAUUUUUUCUUCUAGGCGCUCAUUAAAUUCUAUCUCAUAUUUCUGACAGUGGUUACUGGUUAUUAGGAAACAGUUUGUUCUUAUCGCAGUUCUUAUUAUUUCUGUAAAGUGGAUAUAAUUGUUUGCACUCUACAUACAACAAAAUUUUAUGUGUAUCUGUUUCUUCUACAGAUGGAUGCUCUUAAUUCACAUAACUCUAAGAGUUACUAUGCUUGUGUUGGAGAAAGCACUCAUGCUUACCAAAGUCCUUCAAAGGAUCUCACUGCCAUCAAUAACCACUUGAAUGGGUACACACUUUAUCUUUAAAAAUUAGACAUUGUGUGUCGUAAUAGAAAUUUUAAAUUAAUAGCUGCUGCACUAUCCUUUAUUUCAGUCCCAAGAAGUUUAGAGGCAUGCUCAACUUUGACGACGUUGGAGUGGUUAGUGACUCUUUGGUGGCCAACAGCAUCUACCUACAAAACGGGAGUUGUGCAUCCUCAUCCGGUACACCCUUGAAAUCCGAGCAACCUGAUGCCUAACUUUGACGCAGUUAACGUUUCGUAAUAGCAAUGUAAAUCCUAGGUUCUCAGUGUUUAUUUGGUUGUUACUCUAUAGAGGGGUUGGCUGAAGCGGUGUUUUAUUGUAUACCAUAUACAUUAUCCGCCACUAGCCCAAGUGCCGUCUGAUGUUGGAACGGUGUUUUCCUCCGAUGACUAAUGUAAUAAUGUUUUUAGUCUAUUGUUCACAUUCAUUUCCAGAAGUUAACUGAGGUGGGUUAUUAGUAGAGUUUUCUCAAUUUUGUUAUGUCAAAGUUCAAAUUUUGAGUUGGGUUAUUGAUAAAGUUUUCUUUUUCAAUUUUGUCAAUGGUCGAAUUUUUCACUACAAAUUCUGUUCAAAUUCGACUCGGUUGAGCCAAGCUUAUAAACAAACAAGUUUCUUAACUCCAGCCGAAACAUUAAUUUUGAGAGAAAUUAUGUAAUUUUGAAAAGAUUGUUAACAAAAAAGUUACUUUAGAAAUUAAAAUAUUAUGGUAAGGUGCGGAUAGAUAUUGUGUUGAGGAUUACGGAUAAUUGGUUGAGCUAUCGAUUUAGAUCGGAGAUUGGAAAAUAAUCGGAAUGAUAAUCUUAUUAUUAUAAUAAUAAUUAUAAUUUAUCAACAAAUAUAAUUUUAAUAUAUCGUAAAUACUAUGAUCCUUCAUGUUUAAAGCAAUGUAAUAUUUGAAUAUUAACAAAUUAUUAUAUAUACUUAUUAUAUAUACUUUGAUUAAGAAAACUUAAAAAAUUAAUCAGAUUUCAAUAAUCAAAUUAGUCAGACUAUCUUGUAGAUAAAUAAUUGAGAAUUAGGAGAUUUUUAGAACACUACUCAGUAUAUAGAUAUCUAAAUUUAUGAAAAGAAUUCUUGCAUCUGUAUAUAUCUUUCUAGCUUUUAGAAUAAUAACAAAUGCUAGAUAAUAGUGGAAAUUGAUCGGUUGGCAUUUAAUAUAAAAACAAUCAAAGAUGGCUAGAGAAACUAUGUCUUCAACAAAUAAAAUGCAGCUUAAAGAUGUACUAGACUAUCAUGCAGACAUGCAAUAUUGACUAGUUUCAUAAAAAUUACAAGUGAAAACAUCAAAAGGCUUGAAAAUAAUGGCCACAAAUAAAUUAGGAUCAUCCGUACACACCACCCUUAUAAAAGAUAUGGAAACUAAGCAUAUAAUCCUACUUAUCCAGAAUACUUGAGAUCAUUUGACAUAUUAAACAUAAAGAUAACUGAGCAUCUAAGCUUCUUUCUUUUCAGUAAUGUAACUACCUACUGAUCUGAACCAUCCCAUCAGUUUCCGGUGAUCCUUCACAUAAAGCCAAGCUUGAAGAAAUGGAAAGAGGCUUUCAGUUAUGCCUCGCUCCUCAAUGUAACCAUGAAUGGCAUCCUUCAUCUUAUCAUCAAAAUCCUGGAAUCUAGGUCCAUUAUAUUUGGUUGGGUCCAUGACAAAACCCGAAUCCUCGCUCUUGGCCCUCAUCGAAAUUGAGUGAAUUCCUACUGCAUCAGGAUACAGUCCACAAAGGAAAAGCAAAGACUUGCUCUGCCCUGGCUUAGACACAUCAACAUGAAGAAAUAACUGGUUCAUUCCAUCCUCUUCAUCAUCCUCACCGGCAGGAAUUAUGUUUGUUAACCUCAUCACGGAUAGAUUAAUUUCCUCGUUCCCGUAAGUCCUUGUCAAAACAGGACCAUAAUUUUCAAGAGACCCUUUCACAACCGUGAAUGGUGAUGGAGGGUUCACUUUCUGUACACAAACAAUAAUAACAAAUAAAUUAAAACACCAAAAUGCUACACAUAAUCUUAUGAAAGCAAUGUCAAGAAAGAUAGAUCGAAAUGAAAAAAAAAUGCAAGAACACCUAGCCUAGGAUAAGAAAACUUCAUAUCAGAAGAACACAUCAACGGGCUACAAUACUACUAGAAGCUUGAUUUCCAAAUCCAGUGUAAUCUCCUUACUGGCAAGUAAGUAAAGAAAAAAAUUGUUGUCACAUUUCUAAAGCACCAGAAAACUCGCAUAGCAAAAGCACAACAUGAAAGACACCAUAAACUCAAGGACAGACUUCAGAAAGAAUCUCUAUAAUGUUAAGUGUGCUUAAAAUGAACAAAACUAUGCAAUGCCUUCUUUACUACCUCAUCGGUAACCAACUAAACAUUCAUGAUUUUAAUUCCAUAUUCCAUCUCAUUUCAACCAAUCCAAACCAAGGUUCCAUUAAUUUGCAAACAAACACCCCCAUUUCCCCUUCUCCUUGCUCAUGUCCUUCACAAAACCCCAACUCACCAAACUUGAAGAAACACUCCUCUAUUCCACUCUCCCCUCUUAUAACAUACCUCCCUAUAACUUUGUCCACAAAUUUCCUAUCCAUUCCAAUCUUGCCAAAUCGACUGAGCAAAAGAUACAGCACAUUCGACUAAUCCCGAAAACCACCUAGCUACCAAUAAAACCAAAACCACACUCAUUAACCCAAAAUAAUUUGAAAGAACACAAAAUACAUAAACCCUACCUAAACCCUAAACUUCACAAAAACACUAAAAAAAACAACUCAAAUAAUAUAACAAAUUCACUAAAUUCACAAAACAACAAUAAAUUAAAAAACCCAGAAAAACCCACAUGCCCAAAUGCUUAUAUACACACACAAAAACAUAGAUUUCAAAAGGGGCAGAGAAAUACAGGAGGAGGGGUCAUUUUGGAGACUUCAACAUAGUGUUCUUUCAGUGAGCGCAGAAUCAUUGAGUUGACCGCCGUGGGGAGAUUCGCCUUUGACUUCGACGCCAUCGGCCGUGAUGCUAACAUGCGCCAUGGCUGUAGUAUAGAUUUGGCAGCUGCUCUCUUCCACAUUGUUGAAGCCUGCUCUGAUACAAUGCUUGUUUCGGGUCAUUUCUAUUCAAGAAGCUAUUGGACUGUGAUAGCUAUUGGGCCUAGUAGGAUGUACCUUUUGUUGGCCUCUUUGAUACAAUGAUUUUUGGAAUAUUGCUAGUGUUGUAUAUAAAUUAUUUUUUCUAGUUUAUACAGGAGAAAAAUAUGAAUAGAGUUUAUUUUCUAAUAAGUAUCUUGGAUAUAAUAUUAUCUUUAAUAUCUAAAAAUUAUAAUUUAUCAAAGAAAAUCAUGUUAAAAUCUCGUAAAAGAAAAAUUCCAAAGAAACAGAUUGAAGGGAAAAAAUGUUUUCUUAUGAAAAAUUAUAUUUAAAACAGAUUAAAUAUAAAAUUAAUAUCUUCUUAAUUACAUGGUUUGAUUUCAUCAAUAUUUUUAUCUAAAUCUUGUACACCGAGACAUGGGAGUAUCUAGAAAAUCCCUUUAUAUCUAUAAAAUUUAUAUGACAUUUUUUUUGAAAAAUUCUGAAUAUAUAAUCAUAAAACAAAAAGAACAUAAAUUAAUAUGAAAUUUUUAUAUAUGAUAUAGAAAUAAAUGAAUAUAUUUAUUACUUAAUUAUUAUCAAAAUAUGCUUGUAUAUAUUAAACUUUUUUAAGUAGACACCUACGGAAAUAAAUAGCAUAAAACAUAAAACAAAAACAUAAACGAAUUAAUCAAAUUUUCACUCUGCAAGUCAAAGAAUAUGCAUUAAUCAUGUUCACCAUAUAAAAAAGCAUCAGUUAAUGGAUAAUCAACAAAUUUUUACAAUUCACCUUUCUUUCAAAAAUCCCAAACCCUAAUCCUGAUAUCUCUAAACAAAUUGUCAGGAGUUGCAUUUAUCCAAGUCCAUACUUAUGUAAUUAUAAAUUUCUAUAUGUUAUUACUGUUUCUAGCCUCUAGGCGGUAGUAAUUGCUGUCCGGAAUGUAUUUUGUUUACUUGUCAGGCAGACUCUGCUUGACAUGUGAAGUCCUGCGCGCCCAAACUAAAUGAAACCACUUAAAAUCUUGUGGCCAAGAUUUCCUCAGAGGCCAAGAUUUUCACUACUGAUAGAGUUGUUCACUAUUGAUAGUGAUAAGCUAAUCUUGUGCAGCAUUUUCAAUUGUCUGGUGUACAAGUACAACCAUGGUUUUCAGCUUUUUCCCAUUCAGCAUUCUCUUCUUUUUUGUAUUGGUAACCUCAGCAAGGUUGGUAUAUUCGUUGUCAAACAAUUUUACUGAUGAGCAAGCUCUGCUUUCAUUCAAGUCCUCAAUAACAGAAGACCCCUCGGGGGUGCUAGAGUCGUGGAACAAUUCCAUCCACUUCUGUCAUUGGACAGGCGUUACAUGCAGCCGCAGGCGACAGAGAGUAACAGUACUCGACCUCUCAUCACUAAAUUUGGCGGGUACAUUGUCUCCUCAUAUUGGAAACCUCUCGUUCCUGAGGACAAUUUACCUCUUUGAAAACCGUUUUCAUGGCUUGAUUCCAAAUGACAUUGGUCGACUGUUUCGCCUACAGGAUCUUUCUCUGGGAAACAACUCUUUUCAGGGUGGAUUUCCUGCCGAAUUGCAUCGUUGUACAGAUAUCAGAUUCAUCAAUUUGCACAACAACAAUCUUCAAGGAGAAUUAGCUAUUGACUUUGCUUCUUGGUCUAAGCUUGAUUUCAUUGAUCUUAGCGAAAAUCAUAUUAGUGGAUCCAUUCCACCAUCGAUAGGAAAUGUAUCAUCACUCCGUUUGAUUUAUCUUGGUGAUAACAAUCUAACUGGUGACAUACCUUGGGAAAUGGCUCAUAUCGCAAAAUUAGAGGAUCUUGAUUUGUCAUAUAACAGAUUGUCGGGUACGAUUCCCCUACCACUUUUUAACAUAUCGUCUCUCUAUAUUGUUGGUCUUGCCGUUAACAUGUUACAAGGAACACUUCCAUCGGAUUUGGGCUUCACCCUUCCUAAGCUGCAAGAAUUUUAUGUUGGUGAGAACAAACUUUCCGGACCAUUUCCACCGUCAGUUGUUAAUGCGUCUAAUCUACAUUAUCUUUGAUAUCAUUGAUAACUGUAUUGUUGGGCCUAUACCAAACAAUUUGGGCAGCCUUACAAAUCUUCAAAGGCUAUCUCUGAGUCAUAAUCCACUGGGAGACAAUAUGCGGUACAAUGAUUGGACCUUUUUUGAUUCCUUGGUUAAUUGUAGCCGUCUAAAGAGAUUGGGCUUGGGCCGGACUAGUUUAAGAGGGGAGCUGCCUAAUUCCAUUGCAAAUCUCUCCACCACUUUGGAAGAGCUCUAUAUGUAUGGAAACUAUAUAUAUGGAAGCAUACCUCAUGAAAUCGGAGAACUUGUGAACAUGAUACAUCUUAAUUUCAGAGACAACUUCUUAACGGGGAGCAUUCCACAAUCAAUUGGCAGACUAUCAAAGUUAGGUGGUCUAUAUUUGUAUGGAAACAACAUUUCAGGAGCAAUUCCAACUUCCAUUAGCAACAUGACUCAUUUAGUUGAUCUCUAUCUAUAUGAUAAUGUGCUGCAAGGAAGCAUACCUGCUGAAUUGUUUAACAUAUCAACUCUAGAAGAAGUGUCCAUUGCUAACAACCGACUUGGAGGGGCAAUACCUAAUGAAAUUCUGUUCUUGUCGCAUUGUAUUCGACUUAGUUUGUCCCAAAAUUUAUUUAGCGGUCCACUUCCAUCCAACAUUGGAAGCUUGAAACAACUGGUUGCACUCUUUGUUUCAUACAACAAACUCAGAGGAAAUAUACCAGCUACUCUUGGUGAUUGUGUAAUGUUGGAGUUUCUAUAUAUGGAAGGAAACCUUUUUAAAGGUAACAUUCCAUCUUCUUUUAAAGCGUUGAAAAGUCUUGCUUUUCUAGAUCUUUCUGACAAUAACAUCUCUGGGAGUAUUCCGAGCUUUUUCAAUGGCUUUCAAUUAAUCAAAUUUCUCAACUUGUCACACAACAAGCUUGAAGGUGAAGUGCCUACAGAAGGUCAGUUUUCAAAUGUUAGUGCCUUUUCAGUUGCUGGAAAUUUGGAGCUUUGUGGAGGCAUUCAAGCAUUGCAUUUGGUUGCCUGUCCUCGGAAAGUCUCAAGACAUAAGAAAAAAGAAUUUUCCCCAAGGAUCAUACUAAUUGUAGUUCUCGUACCCCUUGGUAUGUUGUUUUUUUUUCUUGCGUUAAUUUAUUAUCGACGUCGAAACUCCAAGAAGUUGAAUGACCCCAUCCCAAUAUUGAAGGAGGAUCAAUAUCCCAAACUUUCAUACCAAGACCUUCUACUAGCCACAAAUGAAUUUUCUCCAAACAAUUUGCUCGGUCAAGGAAGAUACGGUUCUGUUUACAAAGGAGUUCUCGAAUCAGUGGAACACAUACUUGCUGUCAAGGUACUAAACAUUGAAAUACAUGGAGCUAACAAGACUUUUUUGUCAGAGUGUGAAACACUGAGGCACAUUCGUCACCGGAAUCUUAUCAAGAUCAUCACAGCAUGUUCUAGCACUGAUUUUAAGGGCAAUGACUUCAAGGCAUUGGUUUUUGAGUUCAUGACUAAUGGGAGUGUGGACAACUGGUUGCAUCCAAGUCCUUCUGAUCAAGGGAAUGCAAGAAACUUGACUCUACUUCAGAGACUAAAUAUUUCCAUUGACGUUGCAGUAGGAGUGGAUUACUUACAUCAUCACUCUCAUGCAAGUAUCAUUCAUUGCGACCUAAAGCCAAGUAAUGUGCUUCUCGAUGAUGAUCUUGUUGCUCGUAUUGGUGAUUUUGGUUUGGCGAGAUUCUGCUUUCCUACUACAAGUGACAUCAAUCAAUCACAAAUGAGUUCGAGCGGUGUACGUGGAACAAUUGGAUAUGUGCCGCCAGGUGACUUUUAAAAUAAUAAUUUUUUUUGUCAAUGUUUAACAUUGUUUGAUACUGCUCCACACUUUUAUUUACACCAUCACUAUAUAUUACUUGAAGUUUGUAUGUAAGGAGUGGUAUUUACUAUAUAAGUAAGCAUAAAAUUCGUGAAACAUCUUGUUUGGCAAAUGUCUUGACCUUUUAGUUAUGCAGAGUAUGGAAUGGGUGGCGAGAUAUCUACAGAAGGAGAUGUAUAUAGCUACGGAAUCUUUCUACUAGAGAUGUUUUCAGGAAAACGACCUACAUGUAGCAGCACGUUGUUGGACAAUAAUAAUAGCCUUCAUGACUAUGUGAGGAAAGCCCUCCCACAUAGGGUGAUGAACAUUGUUGACUCGCGGAUCAUAAUAGAUCUAGACGAUCAUGGUUUGAGAACAAAUCAGUCAUAUAACAAGGCUGCCUUAGAGGUAUGUCUGGCAUCAAUAUUUCAAGUGGGGAUACUAUGUUCACUAGAAAUGCCCAAAGAGCGCAUUGACAUUAGUGUUGCUAUCAAGCAGCUUCAUGCAGCAAGAGACAAGCUUCUACAGCACAGAUAGUAACCUAUGUCUCUGUUUCUCUGCUUUUCCUAUGUUUCUAUCUCUUCUUGAUGCCACAGAUUACUCCACACUUUUAUUUACACUCUUUAAUACCGCUCCACACUUUUAUUUACACCGUCACUAUAUAUUACUUGAAGUUUUUAUGUAAGGAGUGGUAUUUACUAUAUAAGUAAACUAUUAAAUUCGUGGAACAGUACUUUUGGCAAUUGUCUUGACCUUUUAGUUAUGCAGAGUAUGGAAUGGGUGGGGAGAUAUCUGCAGAAGGAGAUGUAUAUAGCUACGGAAUCUUUCUACUAGAGAUGUUUUAAGGGAAACGACCUACAUGUAGCAGCACGUUGCUGGACAAUAAUAAUAGUCUUCAUGACUAUGUGAGGAAAGCCCUCCCACAUAGGGUGAUGAACAUUGUUGACCCACGGAUCAUAAUAGAUAAAGAAGAUCAUGGUUUGAGAACAAAUCAGUCAUACAACAAGGCUGCCUUAGAGUUAUGCCUGGCAUCAAUAUUUCAAGUGGGGAUACUAUGUUCACUAGAAAUGCCCAAAGAGCGCAUGGACAUUAGUGUUGCUAUCAAGCAGCUUCAUGCAGCAAGAGACAAGCUUCUACAGCACAGAUAGUAACCUAUGUCUCUGCUUCUCUGCUUUUCCUAUGUUUCUAUCUCUUGAUACCACAGAUUGGGAUUUGAUUUUGUAUAUAUUGAACUAAAACAUGGCUUUGUGAUAUUCACCAUUUGGUGUGCUUUUAAUAAUAUGUUGACACAUGUUGCUUAAUUGUAUUUAGUUUUUUUUCGAAGUUCGCAUGCAAGUUGCACACAGCAUACUAAAAUUUUUGUCCAUGAAGUGUAUUUUCACAGAUUGAUGAUGUUUCAGACAGACCCCUCUUGCUUCCGUAAAGACUUGAGUUUUGGUUCUAGAUGUCCAAGCCUGUGGGAAAUUGUACGUGUACCAGAAACAACAUUAAAAAGAUUAAGUAAUUCAUAAUCAGUUAUCAAUGCACUUGACCUUUUCCCUAUCCAAUACGCAGUACCAGAGGAAGCAGAAACUGCUCUUGCCUUCUGUUUUUCUUGAUCCGUUUGUAUUUAUCGGAAGCACUUUUAAGAAGUUGAGAAUACUAGUUUUCUCUCAAGCUUCUACUUCUUUUCCAAAUACUUUAUUAACUUAUUUACUUCUCACUUGUAAUUCACUUCUUGUUUUUCCAGUUUAUGAAGCACAUUUUAGCCUUCGGAAAAUCAAGUUCUGUAGCUUCUUUUUUUUUCUUUCUUUUUUGCUAACUGUUGUAGCUUUAAUAAGUCCUGAUUUUAUUAGUCAAACUGGCCAAAUUUUGAUUUAAUUGUAAUAUAUAUAUAAUUCUCAAUCUAAGAUAAUUAAAUUGCAAAAAACAAGACUAAUAUCAUGAAAUGUCCAAAUCCAAAGUAAAUUUUGGGGCAGAAUAUGCAUACUGCAAGUUGUAAACUUGUAGAAUUUCAUGUAUUUGAGUAAGGACCAGGGUACCAUGGUCUACGGUCCCUCUGGGGUUCCAGACUGGUGACAAAUAUUAUCAAUCUGUGUCGAUGAUAUCUGUAUUUGCUCCAUAGAAAAUAGAUUAGCCAAAUCUGUUGUGGACAGGUGAUCAGGUACUCUAUAUGGAUCUCGUUUAGUUCUAUUAACUUGUAAGCUUUGCAUAUUUAUUGUCCUUUGGUGAAAUAUAUGUUUCCAGAACCAUCUGUUCAGGACUUCAGGUACAGCCGUACAGGUAGUAAAAGCCAUAUCAAUAGAGUUUUCAUCAUAUAUGAUUUAUAAACUAUAUUUCAAUUAACCUGUAUGAGCCUUUCUGUUACCUUGAAUAAAAACACAGUAGUUUCUUGUUUAAUUUCUUAUCAGAUUGUUACCCUGAAACCUGUUUAGUUUACGUCGAAUCUCUCCACCGUAUCUAUGAUCACUGUAACAGACCAGAACCAGUUUUAAGUAAUUAGGUCCUGUCCAUGCUUGAUGCUCCAGCUAAUCGCGUCUCGCUUGUAAUCAGACCAGACUAGUUCAAUGGUAGAGUAUUUUCCCAGUUGUGCCGGCCUCUGUUACACCAUUUCCAUUCAUGUUUUCCUAGGCUAGUGAAUUACAUAUUACACCAUGGAUAUGUUUACCUUACAGGGAACUAUCUAAGAAAACGAGAAUUACAUGAUACAUUGUCCUAACUUGUAGCCUUAAGUUGCACAGACUUGUAAAUGGUUAACAACACCUAUGACCUAUGUGCAAAUUUUGUUUUUCAUUCUUCUACUUUUAUUUGAAAAACCGCUCUAUAUUUAUAUUCCCGUUAUCAUGUGAAUAAAAAUAAAUCAUCAAUAUUUGGGUUCGAGACUGGUGACAAAUUUUAUCAAUCUGUGUCGAUGAUAUCUGUAUUUGCUCCAUAGAAAAUAGAUUAGCCAAUCAAUAAACGUCGUCAUUCAUUUUCAUGACCAUUUAAUUUCCCAAUCCUUCCAAGCUUUGCUUGACCUGUAAAGUCAUGACGGAAUCACAAGCCUAAAGUUGCAAACACGGUAUCACCGUAUCAGUGAUCAGUAUCAUUUAAAAAAUAAAUUAUAAAAAUCUGAAUAGGUCCAUCGGACAAAAACAAAGUUAUUACUUCAAGAUGAUGUGAUAUGUCCAUUGCCAUGAGCAACACGGCUUUGCAUAUAUGCUAUUGCUGAUUCAUUAAUGUCACAAAAAAGAUUGGCUGUGUAGGAAGAUAAACAGGGAAAAGAACUUGUGUUGUAUAUAUAGUCUACUAUCUUAAUCUUGAAGAUGUCAAAUUAAAGACUAAUUACAAUGUCUUAUAUGCCUGGUUGAGACUUGAAAUUUGAGAAGAUGAAGUUGAUGUGUGGUACAUAUUUAAGUGGUUUGUGCCUAUUUGGAAAUAUAUUCCUCACCAUAUGAUAAGUACAGUGAUAACAUUGUGAAGGAGCAAUUAAUUUACACCAGUACUCUUGGUUCUUUGCUAGUUCCCUAAAGAGUAAAUUGCACACUGUGUACCCGUAGUUUCAGCUUGAUGCACUUUGUGUACCUCAAUUUUCAUAUCUAGCAUUGUGUGUACCUCAAGUUUGUAGAUUCUUGCAAAGUGUGUACUUCCGUUAGUUUGGAAGUAAACACCGUUAGAAAGGAAGGGUAGCGUUGGAAUUUGACAGUGGAAAGGAGGGGCAAUGGGUAUAUCUAUUUGUGUAUAUUAUUAAUAAUAAUUUUAAAAUUCAGAUUAAAUAAUUUUUUCAAAAUUUAUGACACAUUUAAAUAUAUAUAAAUGAUAAUAAUAUGGUGACAAAACAUUCAAAAAUUUAAAAUAUGUAUAUAAUGAGAUUUUAAUAAAUUAUAAAUAUGUAACUAAUAUAUUUAAUCAUUUUAGCAAAAUUUUCAGAAUUAUUGAUAGUUCAAGAUUAUAAUCGAUUGUAUUGCUUUUAUACAUAAGAUGAAAAUUUGGUAAAGUUGAUUUAGAGUGUCAAUUUUAACACGAAUAUAUUAAUAUCUUACUGAUUUUGGAAAGAUCUCAAAAAAGUAUAGUAUAUGAAACGAUAUAGGCUCCACAAGUUGUUUCGAUUUUUUUUUUUAAGUCAUCGGCGAUAAUUCUUUGAAGAAAGCGUAAUAGCUCACUGGUCUAGCUUUAAUGAUAAUAUGGGACUAUCAGCCUAUUUGCUCGGGCUUUACGUCCUGAUUUUAAGUCAUUUCUGAUUUUAAACUAAAAAUUUAUUGUUUGUAUAAUAAGUCAAACGUCGGUUUAAAGUCAGAAAUAAGCCAGAUCUGACUUGCUUAAUUUGAGGUAUUUUUUCAGUUACUUAAUUCUUUUGAAUUUUUUUUGAUAAAAAAUUUCAGUAAGUUAUGAAUUACCUGGAAAUCAUUUUUGUUAUUAUAUUUUUAAUAACCUAUAAGUGAUCAAUAAUUCAAAAAUUACUCAAACAUAGAGCUUUUUCAGUGAUUUGCAUUUUAUUAUGAAAUUUUAAAAAUUUUAAUAUGUAACAAACUUUAUUUAUUAAUAAACUUUUUAUUUAUUUUAAUAAUUUGAAUUUUUUUAAAAUUUAUAAAUUUAAAUUACCACACUCUCAAUUGACUUAUAAACAAAAGUUAUCCAAACACUUUAAAUAACUUAUAAGUCAAGUUCACUUAUCAUUUUUAAUACACUUCUUUAUUUUAAGCAAUAAGUCACUUCUUUUAAGCUAAGCCAAACGGCCCCAUACAUUUUAAACUUCUAACUUAUCAACUAAUUAUCUUAAGUCAUAAAUCAUAAACUUUCCAAGCGGGCUUUAUAAUACAUACAUAUUGGUCCAUAUAUUAAAACCAUAUUUAUAUUACUGUCAUGUCAUUUUAAAAAGUUUUGAAUCUUUUUUUUUUAUCAUCCAGCACAAUUAACAUAUUAGUAAAUCUACAAAAAUACAACAUUUUAUAACACACGAAAAAAAAUCCGUGUUCGAAUCAUAUCUUUAUGAUAUUAAGAAAAUCUUAAUUGAAUGCUCACACAUUUUAAACAUAUAUUAAAAUUUAAGCUUAUCAUUAAUUUGAUUGAUUAUCGAAAAACUUUAAUGAAUAUUCUUUUUUUUAAAGAAAUACUAAUGAAUAUUCUUAAAUCUCAACGGAAUCACCUCUAUCAUUACAUAUCACCGGAUUUUAAAUAUAGUUGUCUUUAAAAUACGAAUCACAUCAAAACAAGUUUCUAAUUUAUUGGUUUUAUUUUAAAUUGAGGCUCAUUUAAUUUUAUGAAUUAUCUUUUUUUUUGAAAAAGAAUUGAAUGCACACUUAAACAAAAAUAAUAUGCAUACUGGUUUCCUCAAGGCUUCAACCGAAUCCAUUAUCAGGCACCGCAAAAACAUGUAACUGAAAUAUAUUACAGGUGAAAUAAUCAUAUUUAUAAUUUAUAAAUUCUCAUGAUAUUCCACUGCUGCCCCUCCUUUUUUAACGGUGUUAAUCUCCAAACUAACGGAAAUACACACCUUGCAAGAAUCUACAAACUUGAGGUACACACAAUGCUAGAUAUGAAAAUUGAGGUACACAAAGCGCACCAAGCUGAUACUACAGGUACACAAUGUGCAAUUUACUCUUCCCUAAACUUGCUUGCCAUCAUAAAGUCGCUUGCUGUAAUAGACAUUUAAGUGAUUGAUAACUCCUCUGGAAUCUAGCAAACACAUCAUCAAAGACUGUGUUUUAGAUGUCCCUGCAUUCUGCCAUCUUAAUUCCUCUCACAUAAAACUAAUAUUUUUUUGACAAUUAUAUGGUAUCCCUUUCAUCAAUAUUUGUAGCUAAAUAAUCCUUAGUCCGCAUAGGAUUUAAAAAACAAAAAUUUUAUAUCUAAAAAAAUCGAUUAAACUUUUCUCAAACAUCAUAAAAAUACGAAGAAUAUGAGUGAACAUAUUAGAAAUAUACAUAUUAUAUAAAAUUAAAGGAAAUAUAUCAAUUUAUAAUUUUUCUAAAACGUGUUUAUAUAUAUUAUUUUUUUAAUUAGACACUAAAGAAAAUAUAUAAUAUAAAAAAAUAUUAAUUAAACAAAGACAUAAACAAGUCAAUAAAAAGGUAAUUAUUUUUUUCUACAAGUAAAAAAUAUGUCCUCAAUAAUAAUGUUUACCCAUAAAAGAAAAAAAAAAGAGUUAUCCAUUAAUGCACAAUUAGCAAAUUUCUAUAAUUCACUUUCCUCUUUUGAAAUCUUAAACCCUAACCCUAAUAACUCUAAAUGAAUUACUUGCAUCCGGAAAACUAAACACCCGUCAUUCCGGUCUUCAAAUCGUUGAUUUGAAAAAAUUGAAACCCUUCUUUACUCCCUUGUCCACUCUCUGGUACAUGGAAAUUAGGUCCGUAAAUCGAUAAGGACUACCCGAUUUCUCGAUUUAUAUUCGGCUUAAAAAUAUGAUACAUUUCUCAUAUCCGUUUUGAAAACGAUCAAAAUCUGGCGAAAAAAUUAAGCCCGUAUAAUAUAUGAUCUCGGAUAUGAGCACACAUAUACCCGCUCAAAUUCGGUCUCAUAUAAUUUUUCAUAAUAUGAUCCUACUCGAAUACCCGAAUAUGAUCCACGGUUAAUGUUCGAUUCAAACUUAUAUACAUAUUAUAAUUCAAAUACAUCACAUUUGUAAUUAAAUAGUUAUCAUUUUAUAAAAUUUUAAUAUAUUAUUUAAGUUUAUAUCUUUAUAAAUAUGACUUAUUUAAUGUGGUGAUGCUUAUUAUCUUCAUAUAUAUAUAUUUAAUAAAUGAUGUAUACCAACAUAUGAUUGUAUGUUUUUUGAUUUAAGAAUAUUAUAUUUUAUAAUAGUAUGUUUACUUAUACUAAAUGAUAAUAAUUUGAAUAAUUGAAAUAAUAAUGAUAUUUAAUGUUAGUGGAUCAUAUAUGGCUCAUAUUCAUAGAUCAAAAACUACCCGGUUAAAAAAUAUAAAAUACGAUACUAGAUCAUGUUCGUUUAGAUCUGGAACUCAAAUAUCCCGGAUCAGUUUAUAUCCGAAUAACAUGAUCGCGAACCUAAAUCUGGACAAACUAAAUAUAAUAUGAUACGAUACUUGAGCAGAGCGAUACCCAAUAUCACCCGAAUAAUUUUACAUCCCUAAUGAAAAUGCUAUCUCACCGCCCUUGUUCCACCGUCGAACCGCACUGCCUCCCUCAUCUAGACAUGGCCAAACAGUACAAGACGAGGCAAGACGAAUUAGAGGAGAAGCGAGUUGCUCAGGAUUGGAUUUGGCAAUGGCUCGUCUCAGCCUCGCGAGGCCAAGCUCAUUCUCACUAUCUCAACUUAUUAUAUUAGACUUGUAUUUAUCAAAUAUAGUUAAAAAUAAAUUAUAGUAUUUAUGUAGCUUUAAAUUGUGAAAUGUUAAAUUAAACUGGCCCGUUACUUUUUGGGAUGAAAGGGUUGAUGAAGUCCAUAUAUAGUAGUCUAGUACCAUUUGACAAGUGCACCAAUGCAUACCGGAAUUCCAAAAAUCUAUUAUAUUAUACUUCUUCCGUUCCUUUAUGUUAGCCGUUUGACUUUUUGCACGUAUUUUGAGGUGCAAUCUGUACAUUAUUUUUUAAAUUUUAUUUUUUGAAUAAAAAUAUAGAUGUUAAACUUUGAUUCAGAAAAAAGAAAAUUUGAAAUAUAAUACAUAGAAGUAUGAUUUUUGCACCUCAAAUUAGGUGUGCAAAGUCAAAACGACUAACAUAAAGAAACAUAUGGAGUAUUAAUUUGGGGGUCUCAUUUUCCAACACAACUCGUGUACAACUUGCCGAUUGAGAUUCUGUUGCAGUACAUCUAGCUCAUGUAGUGUAACAAAACACGAGAUUCUAGUUCUGCUCCGUACAUAUAAAUAAUAAUAAAAAAUCAAAACAUACACAUUUUGGCUCUUCGUAUGUUGAAAUUUUGUUAUAAUAUAUAUAUAUAUAUAUAUANNNNNNNNNNNNNNNNNNNNNAUAUAUAUAUAUAUAUAUCAGUGUUAUAAAAUCAUAAUAAAUUUGAUUAGUUCAUAUAUCACGAUUUUGCAGCAUCAUAAUAAAUUAAUCUGUAUUUACCACUUGGAAAAUGUUAAGUACCCCAGAAAGUGUUCCCAAUUUUUUUUCCCAAAUCCAAGUGUCAAUGAAUGAUUCGUUAAUCACACACUAAUAAUAAUGAGACUCUCGUAUGCACAUCAAUCAUCCAAUUAAAAAUAGACAUAUGUUUUGGGAACAAAUUUUGAAUAUGUAGCAUUACCUUCACCACUUUAUCACACUAGUGAGAUACACUCCCUCUCUCCUAAAAAGAAUGACCCUCUUACUUUUUCACGCGUUUCACUAUACUCCGACAAGGUACUUGUAAAAUAUUAUUUUUCAAUUUUUUUAUUUUGUCCAAAAAUAUGGAUACUUUUCUGAAAAACUUAAAAAAUAUUAUUUAGAAGUACCUCUACCAAUCAUAUUGAGAUGAGUGCAAAAAGAAGUUGGUCAUUCUUUUUGCGUUAUGAAUUAAGAAUCAAAUAUAUUUUUUUGUCUGAAUGACCAAAUAUAAUUUGUUUCAUUAAAAUUAAGAAUGUGCAUAGAUUGAAAAGAUGUAUAUUUAAAUAUAUACUAUUUUAAAAUACAUUUAUCAAUCUCACACAUAUAACUUGCUUUUAUUAAACAAUUAAUACCGUUCUAAAGUUUCAAGUUUAGUCGGUUAUACAUGAAACCUGACCCUACUACGUAUUAGCAUUAAAUAUCAUCAAAAUGGUCACUAAAGUGGAGGAUAUAUAUCAUUUUGUUCGCUGAUCCUAAUGGGUAUGAUUUGAAUCAUUAAAAUCACAUUAAAUAUCUUUAUGUCAAAUAAAUACCUUUAAAUAUGAGGCCAAGCAGUAAAAUAUUAUAAGAAGUUGUACACAUUUUGAAUGUUAUCACAGUCAAGUAAUAAUUCUUGUAUUUAUGAUAAUAUAUUAUAUUUUAUCAAGUUUAUUUCCUGUUUUUUUUAAUUAUAGAACUAUUUUAUUUAUUUUAAUUAAAAAUAAAUCGUAAAUAAAUUUGAUAAAGUUCAAAUGUAAUUGACUUAUCAAGUAUGUUAAAACAUGAAUUAAUGUUAAUAUUUUUUUCAAGUCAAUAAUGAUAUAUCACAACUUUUUUUCAUUUUAUACAUUUAAUUUAUUUUGAUCAAUUUUUUUAUUAAUAUUCUAAUUUGUGAAUAUGAUUAUAAAUUUAAAAUUUUAAUUCAUGAGAUAAAAUUUUAAAAUGAUAUUUUUAUUAAAUGAUCAAAUUAUUUGAAUAAAUAUAUUAAAAAUAUAUUUAUUUAAGUGCAUAAUUAUAUUAAUAUAAUAUGUUACCAAUUUUUCUAGGGGUAAAUGUUGUCCACAACGUAUUUGUUUACUCUUUGGGCAGACUGUGCUUGACUUGUGAAGUCCUGCGCGCCCAAACUAAAUGAAACCACUUAUAAUCUUGUGGCCAAGAUUUCCUCAGAGGCCAAGAUUUUCACUAUUGAUAGUGAUAAGCUAAUCUUGUGCAGCAUUUUCACUUGUCUAGUGUACAAGUACAACCAUGGUUUUCAGCUUUUUCCCAUUCAGCAUUCUCUUCUUUCUUGUAUUGGUAACCUCAGCAAGGUUGGUAUAUUCGUUGUCAAACAAUUUUACUGAUGAGCAAGCUUUGCUUUCAUUCAAGUCCUCAAUAACAGAUGACCCCUCGGGUGUGCUGGAGUCGUGGAACAAUUCCAUCCACUUCUGUCAUUGGACAGGCGUUACAUGCAGCCGCAGAAGACAGAGGGUAACUGUACUCGACCUCUCAUCACUAGGCUUGGCGGGUACAUUGUCUCCUCAUAUUGGAAACCUCUCGUUCCUGAGGACAAUUUACCUCUUUGAAAACCGCUUUCAUGGCUUGAUUCCAAAUGACAUUGGUCGACUGUUUCGCCUAAAAACUCUUUCUAUGGGAAACAACUCUUUUCAAGGAGGUUUUCCAGCCGACUUGCAUCGUUGUACAAAUAUCAGAUUCAUCAAUUUGCACAAAAACAAUCUUCAAGGAGAAUUAGCUACUGACUUUGCUUCUUGGUCUCAGCUUUAUUAUUUUUCUGUUGGAAACAAUCAGUUUACAGGAUCAAUUCCACCUUCAAUAGGUAAUACAUCAUCACUUCGUACUCUUUUUUUAUACAAAAACAAUUUUGAAGGAAAUCUACCCACUGAGUUUGCCUCUUGGUCUAAGCUUGAUUUCAUCGAUCUUAGCAACAAUCAUAUUAGUGGAUCAAUUCCACCGUCGAUAGGAAAUGUAUCAUCACUCCGUUCGAUUCAUCUCGCUUGUAACAAUUUAACUGGUGACAUACCUCGGGAAGUGGCUCAUUUUGCAAAAUUGGAGGAUCUUGAUUUGUCAGCAAACAGAUUGUCGGGUAUGAUUCCCCGACCACUUUUUAACAUAUCGUCUCUCUAUAUUGUUGGUCUUGCCGUUAACAUGUUAAAAGGAACACUUCCAUCGGAUUUGGGCUUCACCCUUCCUAAGCUGCAAGAAUUUUAUGUUGGUGAGAACAAACUUUCAGGACCAUUUCCACCGUCAGUUGUUAAUGCGUCUAAUCUUGUUUUCUUUGAUAUCAAUAAAAACAGUAUUUUUGGGCCUAUACCAAACAAUUUGGGCAGCCUUCUGAAUCUUGAUUGGCUAGGUCUGGGUCAGAAUCCACUUGGAGAGAAUAUGCGGUACAAUGAUUGGAGCUUUCUUGAUUCCUUGGUUAAUUGUACCCAUCUAAAGAGAUUGAGCUUGGGCGAGACUAGUUUAAGAGGGGAGCUCCCUGAUUCCAUUGCGAAUCUCUCCACCACUUUGGAAGACCUGUAUAUGUAUGGAAACUAUAUAUAUGGAAGCAUACCUCAUGGAAUUGGAAAACUGGAGAAAAUGAUACAUCUUAAUUUGGGAGACAACUUCUUAACGGGGAGCAUUCCACAAUCAAUUGGAAGACUAUCAAAAUUAGGCCUGCUAGCUUUGGCUGGAAACAACAUUUCAGGUGCAAUUCCAACUUCCAUUAGCAACAUUACUCAUUUAGUUAAACUCUAUUUAUAUGAUAAUGUGCUGCAAGGAAGCAUACCUGCUGAAUUGUUUAACAUCUCAACUCUAGAGGUAGUGUCCAUUGCUAACAACCGGCUUGGAGGUGCAAUACCUAAUGAAAUUCUGUUCUUGUCGCAUUGUAUUCGACUUAGUUUGUCCCAAAAUUUAUUUAGCGGUCCACUUCCAUCCAACAUUGGAAGCUUGAAACAACUGGUUAAACUCGGCGUUUCAAACAACAAACUCGGAGGAGAUAUACCAGCUACUCUUGGUGAUUGUGUAAUGUUGGAGAUGUUAUAUAUGGAUGGAAACCUUUUUCAAGGUGAAAUUCCAUCUUCUUUUAAAGCAUUGAAAAAUCUUGCUUUUCUAGAUCUUUCCGACAAUAACAUCUCUGGGAGUAUUCCGAGUUUUUUGAAUGGCUUUCAAUUUAUCAAAUUUCUCAACUUGUCACACAACAAGCUUGAAGGUGAAGUGCCUACAGAAGGUCAGUUUUCAAAUAUGAGUGCCUUUUCAGUUGCUGGAAAUUUGGAGCUUUGUGGAGGCAUUCCAGCAUUGCAUUUGGUUGCCUGUCCUCGAAAAGUCUCAAGACAUAAGAAAGUAGCAUUUGCCCCAAGGAUAAUACUAAUUGUAGUUCUUGUACCCCUUGGUGUAUUGUUUUUUUGUCUUGCGUUGAUUUCUUAUCAACGUAGAAACUCCAAGAAGUUGAAUGACCCCGUCCCAGUAUUGAAGGAUGAUCAAUAUCCCAAGCUUUCAUACCAAGACCUUCUGCUGGCCACAAAUGAAUUUUCUCCAGACAAUUUGCUCGGUCAAGGAAGAUACAGUUCUGUUUACAAAGGAGUUCUCGAAUCAGUGGAACACAUACUUGCUGUCAAGGUACUAAACAUUGAAAUACAUGGAGCUAACAAGACUUUUCUGGCAGAGUGUGAAACAUUGAGGCACAUUCGUCAUCGAAAUCUUAUCAAGAUCAUCACAGCAUGCUCUAGCACUGAUUUUAAGGGCAAUGACUUUAAGGCAUUGGUUUUUGAGUUCAUGACUAAUGGGAGUGUGGACAACUGGUUGCAUCCAAGUCCUUCUGAUGAAGGGAAUGAAAGAAACUUGACUCUACUUCAGAGAGUAAAUAUUUCCAUCGACGUUGCACUAGGAAUGGAUUACUUACAUCAUCACUCUCAUGCAAGUAUCAUUCAUUGCGACCUAAAGCCAAGUAAUGUUCUUCUCGAUGAUGAUCUUGUUGCUCGUAUCAGUGAUUUUGGUUUGGCAAGAUUCUACUUUGCUACUACAAGUGACAUCAAUCAAUCACAAAUGAGUUCUACCGGUGUACGUGGAACAAUUGGAUAUGUGCCUCCAGGUGACUUUUAAAAUGAUAUUUUUUGUCAAUGUUUAAUACUCUUUUAUACUGCUCCACACUUUUAUUUACACCGUCACUGUAUAUUACUUGAAGUUUUUAUGUAAGGAGUGGUAUUUACUAUAUAAGUAAACUAUUAAAUUCGUGGAACAGUACUUUUGGCAAUUGUCUUGACCUUUUAGUUAUGCAGAGUAUGGAAUGGGUGGGGAGAUAUCUGCUGAAGGAGAUGUAUAUAGCUACGGAAUCUUUCUACUAGAGAUGUUUACAGGAAAACGACCUACAUGUAGCAGCACGUUGCUGGACAAUAAUAAUAGUCUUCAUGACUAUGUGAGGAAAGCCCUCCCUUCUGGGGUGAUGAACAUUCUUGACCCGCGGAUCAUAAUAGAUCUAGACGAUCAUGGUUUGACAACAAAUCAGUCAUACAAGAAGGCUGCCUUAGAGGCA